rnacentral:lncRNA from 1 species
CGGCGGCCAAGCCCCAGUGUUUGGGUGGCGCGCGGUGACCCCGCCUCCACCCUCGCGCGCCUCCCUACGUAUUGGCUCCUGCCUUCCUGGCCCCGCCUUCCCGGGCCGAGGCCUGCCUGCCGAACUCCGCCCAGCCAAGGUACAGCGGUGUGGUAGGCGCUAGCCGCCGAGGACUCGGUGAUGGACAGGUUCGUGGCCCCACCCCCUCAGCCGUAGCGCGCCCCUGCCUCCACAGAGGAGCACACGCGGAUUGGAGAGAAGGAGCCCCUGGUGACGCCAAUCAGAAGGCGGCCCCUCCUCCCGCACGUGGCCUGAGGACGCAGGAGAAGAGCGCAUCGCUUCCACCGUUCCCCGGCCAGACUGGUGUCCUCUGUCCCGAGUCCUUCGAUUUGGAUGCUAGCUACUCUCUUCGUUGAUAUUGUUGCACACUCUGAUUUUUUUAUGAAGAAUUCAGACACUCACAGUUAUGAUAAAAAGAAGAGAACUGCGAAAACAAAAGAGAUACCCGAAAAGGCUGAAGGUUGGCUUCUGGAAAUGCCAAAUGAAGCAGGCCAUCUUGAAACACUCUGGCUCUAAGAAACAUACGUUGAAGGGGGUGGGGAAGACUCCCCCACAGCUGGAGAUUUGCAAGUUGACCAAGUCCCCUGGAGAAGCUAAGCUCCCCAGGGAGCAGCAGUCCUCUGGAGUGUCUGAGCCCUCUGUGCUGGCCAGUUCCACAGACAGGACCCGGAUUGGGUUGAGCCACAAGAGCCGCUCUUUGCUGCGGGUGCCCCGGACGGCCGUGCGGUCAGCUUCCAUGAUCAUGCUCUCUGCCCUGCAGUCCAGCUGGCAAAUGUGCUGGUGGAAGCCAUCUGCCAGCUCUGCCUCCAUUUCCUCCCAGUUGAGGACCUCGUCCCCUCUGGACACGCCCGAGGCCGAGCUGCUGCGAGAGGUGUACCUGGUGCUGUGGGCCAUUCGGAAGCAACUUCGGCACCUGGCCCGCCGACAGGAGAGACACAGAAGCCACCACCACGUCAGGACCUACUCCUCUGCCUUGGCCGAACCAGUGCUAGAACUGAAGAAGGAUGCUAGAAGUCCCCUACACAGGACAGCCUUGCCAGAUCACAGGAGUUCCCACAAUCUGAAAAGGCUUCACCAACACAAGGGCCACUCCUACCCACUACCUUCAGCAUCAGUCCUGUGAUGUCCAGCACUCACACCUGUGAAGCCCGGAGGUCACAGCACACGGGGCACUCUGCACCACAGCUGUCUCCAGUACAAGCCCACA